UUCUAUUUUGGUUGUGGUCCCGACAGUCCCCAUUGCCGCAUCAUGGCCGAGUGGUGCCAAAGAGGAAUCGAGGACAUCCCAAGGCUCGUUCGAUCCCCAGAGUGUCCAAAUGUGUCCCCAGUGUCUCCCCAGUGAGCAUGGAGCUCCAAGAGCUGUCCCCGGCCCUGCUGCAGCCACAGGUCACCGUGGUGGCCAUCCUGGGAGAUGCUGGCCAACCUGCCCAGUCUGGACACGAUGAUGCUGCUGCUCCUGUCUCCAAGCUGCCUGUACUUGGACCUGAUUGACUUCACCAAGGAGCUCCAGAUCACCCUGUACCACCUUAAUGCAGCCUGGUGGCACUGCAAUGCCACUUCUGAUGAUGGCCCUGUCACCUCCCUGAGCCAGGCCCUGGUCGCCUACAAGAGCACCCCAUGGACUGUGGUAGAUAGGGAAAAGGCGCUGCAGAAGAUCACGCGAUGUCACGGAAAGCCAGGACCCUUUGUUCCUCUAAGAUAAGAGAUUACCCUAGGAAUGUGGCCCCACUAACAGUAGGAAUGUGGCCCCACUAACAGUAGUGCCAGUAACUUUCCAUUCCUUACCCAGUACUUUUCCAUUCCCUACUAAACAUAGAUAAGAAGGACAAACCCCCUUUUGACGUAGAGGACCCCUUAGACUAUAAGACCCCACGAGAAGAAGUAAUAAACGCCUUUUGACCGUCCAUCA